GUGAAAAAAAAAAAAAAAAAAAAAAAAAAAAAAAAAAAAAAAA
rnacentral:ribozyme from 13 species